CAAUCUACCAAACCAAGCAUUACUCAUUUAAUUCAAUUUUUUUCCUUCAAAAAUCCAAAAUUCCAACUUCUUAAAUACCCAAAAACCAAAAACCUCAAAUUUCUUUUCCUUUCCUACUCAUCCUACAUUUUCAUCUCAUCAAUAAAAUCCUCAUUUCUCACAAAUAUCACAACAACCAACAUUCUUUAUUCUUCCACCAUCUGCGUCGGCACCUACCAACCUCUUUUCCAUUAUUGAGAGCAAUAGCUCAACAACCCAUCUGCAACGCCGCCAAUCUCUCCUUACACUACAACAAUCUCGUCAUGCUCAACAACUCCAACAGCAGCACCACCGUCGUCCUGCAUCACAGCAGCCUCGUCGCCUUGCACCACAACUCAACGACAACAGCUUCUACAUUGACGGCAGCAAGCAUAACAACAUCCCUCAUUUUCUCUUCACAUACUAUAUCCAAAAAUCCAUUUUCUAACCAAAUCCGCAUACCAAAAAAUUAUUCCUCUUACAUUUCUAAUACCCACAUACAAAAUACUAAAUUUCACAUUCUUUUGCAAAAGACUCACUUUAUCAUAAAUACAAAAAAUAUUUUUGAGAAAUUUUUCCUCCCUCUUUAACCAACAAAGCAAAGACUUUUUUGGUAUAUUAAAGGAAAAAGAGAAAGAAAGGUGUUGUCAUGAAUUCAGGAGGUGCUUCAAGCUCUUGUCUUUCAAGUGAACCCAUUACUAUAGAUACAGUCGCUGCUUAGGAAUUACUCUCAUUAAGCACUACUACCCCACAAGUUAUUAUGCCUUUACCUUUUUUCAUAGAUCCUCAGACUAUUAGUAUUCAUGAGGCACCACCUAUACCAACUAAAUUCACCUACAUUAUUUUAGGAGUUCUUGACUUUCUCACUUUCAGAGAUCUCCUGGCCAUGUUCAAUCCCGAAACAAGACAUCAAAGGACUUUCCUCUCUAUUGGUUUACCCAACUCUUCUCAACUCUCAUCUUCUUUUCCCUUUGAAAAUCAAGGAAAGAAGAAACUAAGACAUAUAAGGAGGAAGGAGCACUGUUAUUGGGCAAGACUCUCUAUAAACCAGUUACUCCAGGAAAAAUUCAAAUCUUAGCCAAGAUAUAGGAAGGAUUGGCUAGCUUGGGUAGAUAGACUUAGACCAGUCUUCUCUCCUAUUUGGAAGCAAGUUGGUGUAUAUGAUAUGAUUAGCCUCAGUCUGGAAGACCCAAUUAUGGAGUAAGACUUACUAUGUGUCGUAUUCAGGUUCUGGUCACCAUCCAUCCACUCUUUCAUUUUCCCUUUUGGACCAGCAUCCAUCACUCUAAAAGACAUGUUACUCCUCACUGGUUUACCUAUCUUGGGAUGUAAAACUCCUAUUGUAAUUGAUAAAGCAACAGAUUCUUACCCUUCUUAUGAUCCCCGUUCUAUGGAGUUUUCUUCCUAUCAUCACUUUGUGCAGAAAUGAAGCCAAGCGAGUGGAUCCCCUUCAGAUAUUGAGCAUAUUGAGUUUAUGUGGUUCCUUAUUUGUCAAUUCAUCCUCUGCUCAACCUCCGGUAAACUUAGCUUGGAGUUCCUUCCCUUAGCCAAGGGUAUAGUGUCGAGUAAGACGUGUUAUGCUUUAGUCAUGCUACUUGCCUCCACAUAUCAAUCUUUAGAUAGGAUGGUUACUGAGCAUCCAUUGUAUAAGGUUGGGAACCACAUGUGGAUUGUUCAAUUAUGGCUCUUAGCCUAUUUUUCAUCUUUGAGGAACAAGCAAAUGGGUGUAUCCGAGCUUGAUAUUUGGUCUUCUAGCAGAGAAAUAACUUGGUGGAUCAAGGAAAGGAUCAUUUACCACAGAGAGGCUUUUUGCGGUUAGUAGUUCUUUAAGUUUUACUACUGGCAUCCUUUCACCUCAGCCUCCAUUUUUUGUGAGAUACUUACCUCCCUUUUGAUGUAGGCAAUUUGGUUUCCACCAAAUCAUACAUGCCUUGAAUUUUUCUGAUGAAGCUCUUAUUUUCUCUAAUGAUGUUACUAUGCAGCACAUAGAUGCUUUUUUUAAGAAAUAUUAAAAAUUAUCAUGUUCCAUUUGUGAGAUUGAUGAUGGUGCUAGAAUUGCUUUUGACACCUGGUGGCCCUAGAGAUUUGCACAAUUUGUUCCAAUCAUUACAGGUGAUAUAGCUUAAGAUUUGCCCUUGAUUCCAUUUCAACUUCAAGGAAGAUCAACAAAAGGGAAACAAAAGAAUAAAGUUAUGAGCCCUCUCCAUAUUAUCCUAAAAGAAGAAAUAAAAAAUCAACAAGUCUUCCUCUUUUGAUGUUGCAGGAAAAUCUUCAAAAGCUAAAACUUAUGUUCCUCCAGCUCCUACUCGAAGGUCCCAAAAAAAUAUCGUCAAGAGUACCUUUAUUAACUUCGUAGAGGAUCCACUUGAAGUUUCAGGAGAUGAAAAUACGAAAGAUUCUGAAGAUAACAAAAGUCAUGAUCCUAGCGACUCUGAUGAUCUUGUGGAUGGCAAGGAUGCUGGGACCGAAAUGGAUGAAAAUCCCAUUGAUAUAGAGUAUCUAGGGAAUCACUCCCUCCCUUGACACUUACCUCUUUAUCCUCCUGUAAAGUAUGAUGAUAUGGAGCCUCAUAUGACCAAAUCUCCAGUUAUUAUUCUACCCAAGCCUUCAGCUUCUCUUCCUAUGCCUUAGGUACAUUUAUUUUACAUUUCCUUCUAUAAAUGUUUAGAUUUGAUAUGCAUACUUUUAAAAACCUGAAGUUAUUUUAUUCACUUUUUUGGUAGGACAUAGCUCUAGUUCUAGAGUUUAUAGAUCUUCUUUUCGGACUUGAUUUCUCUUUUUUAGCUGCUACCUCCUCUUCAUUGAGUACUUCAUUGACUCCCCCUACUCACUGUAGCCAUUUUGCACCAUGUAACCAUAUAUUUAUUUGCACUUAUUUGUAUUCUACUUUAAAAUUUAUGCUUUUGGCCA